AACGAACGCUGGCGGCGCGCCUAAUACAUGCAAGUCGAGCGAGAAGACGUAGCAAUACGUUUGUAAAGCGGCGAACGGGUGAGGAAUACAUGGGUAACCUACCCUCGAGUGGGGAAUAACUAGCCGAAAGGUUAGCUAAUACCGCGUACGCUCCUCGGACUUCGGUUCAGGGAGGAAAGCGAUACCGUGGGUAUCGCGCUCUUGGAUGGGCUCAUGUCCUAUCAGCUUGUUGGUGAGGUAACGGCUCACCAAGGCUUCGACGGGUAGCUGGUCUGAGAGGACGAUCAGCCACACUGGCACUGCGACACGGGCCAGACUCCUACGGGAGGCAGCAGUAAGGAAUAUUGCGCAAUGGGCGAAAGCCUGACGCAGCGACGCCGCGUGGGGGAUGAAGGUC
rnacentral:rRNA from 1 species